rnacentral:misc_RNA from 1 species
ACAAUUCUCGACCGAUGACUCCCGAUGUACGAAAGCACAGGCGACACCGGCUGCCGCGAUGACGCCUCACAGAUUUAUCUUUAGGGCCUAAUCUUUAAUCAGCAUUAAUCUGCAGAGACAACCUGCAUGGUACCUAUUUGCAUAUUAUACCUAGAAAUCAAGAGGAACACAUCACAAAAAUUGUAGGAUUGAAAAACAACGUAAUCAUCAUAGCUAACGGCAGUUUAUCAAUUUGUUCAGGAGCUGCCUGCAGUACUGAGAAACUUGGACAAUUCAAAAAAUCGACAGAACG